GACGAACGCUGGCGGCGUGCUUAACACAUGCAAGUCGAACGGUAAGGCUCCAGCUUGCUGGGGUACACGAGUGGCGAACGGGUGAGUAACACGUGGGUGACCUGCCCUGCACUUCGGGAUAAGCCUGGGAAACUGGGUCUAAUCCCGGAUAGGACCGCACCGUGAGGGUGUGGUGGAAAGUUUUUUCGGUUUGGGAUGGGCCCGCGGCCUAUCAGCUUGUUGGUGGGGUACUGGCCUACCAAGGCGGCGACGGGUAGCCGGCCUGAGAGGGUGGACGGCCACAAUGGGACUGAGACACGGACCAGAGUCCUACGGGAGACAGCAGGGGGGAAUAUUGCACAAUGGGCGGAAGCCUGAUGCAGCGACGCCGCGUGGGGGAUGACGGCCUUCGGGUUGUAAACACCUUUCGCCAUCGACGAAGGGUUUCUGACGGUAGAUGGAGAAGAAGCACCGGCUAACUACGUG
rnacentral:rRNA from 1 species